GCUUGGAGGUGUUCUUGAAUGUAUGGUUAUUUUUUUUUUCUGAUACGGUGGUCUUAUUGGAGACAUGAUUAUUUGCUGCUUAUUAAAUCCGAAUUGAUUAUCGCGCGUACAUAUUAAAUAUUUUAUCUCUUUCGGUUUAGUGUGUUUCUAGUGGAAAGUGCAAAAGAAUAUUCAGAAUGUAUGAAUACAUAUACAAUGGAGAGGCUUUGUUAUGAAAAUAAAGAAAGAAAUUAAACAUUUAUGAUGUAACUUGUGUGAAUUAUAUAGAUCACAUGUGCCUACGUAAUUUAUGAGCCUUUCCUUUAAUUCCAUAUUUUUCAAAUUAUUAGUUUUAUUAUAAACUAAAGUGUUAUAAUAAAUUAAAGAUAAUUGAAAUAGUAAUAAGUCCGUUGUGCAUGCACCUCAUGUAAACAAAAGGCUGAAGAGCAGCUUUUGAGGAGCUCGACACUACGCACAGAUGGCAGCCCCAGUUAGCCAGAAGGAAUACCUUAAACGUUACCUUAGUGGUGGUGAUGAUGAC